AUUGAACGCUGGCGGCAGGCCUAACACAUGCAAGUCGAGCGCGCGGCGGACGGGUGAGUAAUGUCUGGGAAUCUGCCUGAUUGCGGGGGAUAACUACUGGAAACGGUAGCUAAUACCGCAUACCAUCAGAUGUGCCCAGAUGGGAUUAGCUAGUAGGUGAGGUAAAGGCUCACCUAGGCGACGAUCCCUAGCUGGUCUGAGAGGAUGAGCAGCCAAACGGGGACUGAGACACGGUCCAGACGCCUACGGGAGGCAGCAGUGGGGAAGAGUGCACAAUGGGCGCAAGCCUGAUGCAGCCAUGCCGCGUGUAUGAAGAAGGCCUUCGGGUGGUAAAGUACUUUCCGCCGGGAGGCGGUAACGGCAGAAGAAGCACCGGCUAACUCCGUGCCAGCAGCCGCGGUAAUUC
rnacentral:rRNA from 1 species